AAGAGUUCUAAGGAGGAGGAAGGUCUAUCUUCUAUGGAGUUUUUGAAAAUCAACAAAGGUGGAGCUAUCAGGUCCAUCCUUUUAUUUUGGUGCUGAGGAGGAAGAUAUACCUCACAUGAUGGAGUAUGAAGAUCGCAACUUCAUCAAGACAUCUGGCAAGUGCACAUAUUCGCGAGAAACACUAUUACCUUGUACAAUAUUCUUAUGUGAUUCUCAUAAUUCAUUUUUUAUUAUGGGCAUGCACUCCAACAUGUGGGGUCAUUUUGUCAUCACAUUUUAACCCUUAGGAAAAUCGUCAUAUGUCAUUAUUAUUUUCAUAUGAUGAUGCUGGCUUAUGACAGGAAUAUGGCAGCACAGUAAUCGAUGGAUAAAUCAUUGAUUAUCAUCUUAAGUUUGUUUUAGUAUGCUACAACAUGUAGAUUUGUUUUGAUAUGCCAAAAUUUGUGGGUUUUGUUAUGAUUUAGAUGACCCUGUAAAUGCUGAGAAAAUGAUUUGAGUCUUUCAUAGAAUAUUAAGUAGCAUCAUUUUAUGUAAGAGGGAUAGCAUGCAAGACUGUUUCAGUAUGUUAAUAUUGGUGGGGCCUUAUCAUAUUUAAAUUAAACCAACUUAUGGUGAGGAAAUGAGCUAAAUCUCAGUGGGUUUAGGAUUUGAAUCUCUUCUAGGAAUAAACUGAAGUACUAGAUGGAAGUACAAACCUAAUGCUCUUUAGCAUUUGUCAUAAUUGGAGAUCAAUGUAGAUUUGUUUGGAUUAGCAGCUAAUCGUCUAUGUAAAUCAAUUUGAUUAUCUUAUUUUGAGUAUGUAUGUUUCGUCAUAUUAGUCCCUUUUGUGGCAUUUGGGAUCGUUAUGGUCAGGCUUGGAUUUGUUUAAAUCAAUGACUAUAUUGAUUUCCUGUUUGUUUUAUGUGUUUAAGAGUCAACUAAUUUCUCCCUUUCUUAUUGUUGGCAAGCUGCAGAUAUCCAUUUUUAUUGGGUAAUUAUUGGGACAAAUUUACACAGUAGUCCUGCAUUACCUAAGUAUGUUGCUGGUUAAAUAGACUGUGGGGAAGGAUAAGUCUGGCUGUGAUGUUUCUAUUUUUUCGCUAAGUAGUGUUGUAUUUGAUUAAUCUAAUGGUAAUAUUUCUUAUAAACUUGUAGCCAAUAUCUUUAAAUUUUAUGUAGGUCCUACUUGUCAGGAAACUUAUGUUUGAAACUUUUUUUUGUUAAAUUGGCCAUGUCACAUUAGCCACUGAUCAAGGAAUCUAUGGAGUACUAAGCAGUUUAAAGAAAUAGUAUGUACUUAAGUGGUCACGUAUCAUUUGCUGGUUGUCAGCCAUGGUUCUGGGACAUAUACUGUGGAAAGAGGAAAGGAGUGAGUGGAGAUUUUGGCCCCAUAUCUUGUCUUAUGAUCAUGUCACUGAAAGUUGUUCUUAGCUAAUAAAUGAAAAUAUUUGCAUCAAACACAUUGCUAGUCAUCCUUUUCGGUAGACUUAAUUUUCUGCUGCUAUUUCUUUUCAUCCCAAACAUGCCUUCGGUUGUCAUGAUCAUUGUUUGACUAGUUAAUAUCAUGAAUGAUGAAUCAGCUUCCUAAGGCUGGAUGCAGCAAUGUGUCAUGAUGCUCUCUCAUUCUUUUGUAGGUAGCUUUCUUGUUUUAUCACCUCGGUGGUUCCUACAAUCUGAGUAUGACUACACAAUGGACUUUGAUCUUGGUGUUCAGGUACGGCCUCGUUUUUUUUUUUAAAUAAUUUUCAUUCAUUACGUCAAACGAUAUACAAGACGGGCAUGUCGACUUGAACAUUAGACGUAUCGACUGUGCAACAGUAUACUAAGUUCCUAACCACUAGAUGUGUCAACAGAGAAAAGAGUUGUGCUCUAUGGUUGGUUAUAUUUAGUGUCGUGAAAAGGAAUUUGUGUGCUAUUGAUGGAUUCCUAUUGCAUGUUCUUGGGAGAAGGAUAAUGGUCUCAUGACAUAACAGGAAAAGCACCUCAUAUAUGCCUUCAUUGUAUCAGAUUGAAGCAAGCAUGCAGAAGGCUUGAAGCAAUUUAUAUAUGCCUGUCUGCUUAUAGUAAGCAUUGUACUACAUACUACAAACUACACAUUUGUGUGUGAAUCAUAUCACACUUUGUGAAGUCAUGUUUUUGAACUCCAUAUGAUUAGCUGAGCAGUUUGCCAUUUGAAAUUAUGUACUUUUGCAAACGAAAAUGGGUUCAUAUCAUAGCAUCAAGGGUUUAUGCAG
rnacentral:lncRNA from 1 species